AGUGAACGCUGGCGGCAGGCCUAACACAUGCAAGUCGAACGGCAGCACAGAGGAGCUUGCUCCUUGGGUGGCGAGUGGCGGACGGGUGAGGAAUGCAUCGGAAUCUGCCUAUUUGUGGGGGAUAACGUAGGGAAACUUACGCUAAUACCGCAUACGUCCUACGGGAGAAAGUGGGGGACCGCAAGGCCUCACGCAGAUAGAUGAGCCGAUGCCGGAUUAGCUAGUUGGCGGGGUAAAGGCCCACCAAGGCGACGAUCCGUAGCUGGUCUGAGAGGAUGAUCAGCCACACUGGAACUGAGACACGGUCCAGACUCCUACGGGAGGCAGCAGUGGGGAAUAUUGGACAAUGGGCGCAAGCCUGAUCCAGCCAUGCCGCGUGUGUGAAGAAGGCCUUCGGGUUGUAAAGCACUUUUGUCCGGAAAGAAAGGCAUCCGAUUAAUACUCGGGUGUUAUGACGGUACCGGAAGAAUAAGCACCGGCUAACUUCGUGCCAGCCGCCGCGGUAAUAC
rnacentral:rRNA from 1 species